AAGAGUUUUGGAUAUGGCUCAGAUUGAACGCUGGCGGCAGGCUUAACACAUGCAAGUCGAGCGGAGAGAGGUAGCUUGCUACUGAUCUUAGCGGCGGACGGGUGAGUAAUGCUUAGGAAUCUGCCUAUUAGUGGGGGACAACAUUUCGAAAGGAAUGCUAAUACCGCAUACGUCCUACGGGAGAAAGCAGGGGAUCUUCGGACCUUGCGCUAAUAGAUGAGCCUAAGUCGGAUUAGCUAGUUGGUGGGGUAAAGGCCUACCAAGGCGACGAUCUGUAGCGGGUCUGAGAGGAUGAUCCGCCACACUGGGACUGAGACACGGCCCAGACUCCUACGGGAGGCAGCAGUGGGGAAUAUUGGACAAUGGGCGCAAGCCUGAUCCAGCCAUGCCGCGUGUGUGAAGAAGGCCUUAUGGUUGUAAAGCACUUUAAGCGAGGAGGAGGCUACUUUAGUUAAUACCUAGAGAUAGUGGACGUUACUCGCAGAAUAAGCACCGGCUAACUCUGUGCCAGCAGCCGCGGUAAUACAGAGGGUGCAAGCGUUAAUCGGAUUUACUGGGCGUAAAGCGCGCGUAGGCGGCUAAUUAAGUCAAAUGUGAAAUCCCCGAGCUUAACUUGGGAAUUGCAUUCGAUACUGGUAGCUAGAGGUUGAAGUAUUU
rnacentral:rRNA from 1 species